UUUGGGAUGUAGUCGCCAAUAUCAUCUACUAUGCAUUUAGCUGAUCUAGUUGGGAAUUUCGAUUUUGGAUCUAGUCGCUGUGAAGUUGAGUGGACCUAAUCGUGAAUUUGUAGAAAAUCUUGGAGAAUUCUUACUGAUUUUGUUCUAUAUCCAUCGAAGAACUAUCUUUUCGUUGCGAAUUUUAGGAGAGAUACAUGGCCUACUGGUCCUGGCUUGUAACGCUGUACAUGUGAGUUUGGGCACUAAUCCUCUUUUGCUCGAUGAGUUUUUUUGUUUGAUUUUUAACCCAAAAAUUUGGACCAUAUGAAACUGUCAGAGUAGAUAAUGGUUGCCUGGUUGGUAUUGGAUU
rnacentral:sRNA from 1 species